UACAUCCCUCUCUCUCUCUCUCUCUACAAUGUCUCUGACACCCAAAUCUUUCUUCUUUCACUUUCUCUCUCUUCUUCUUCUUCUUCUAAUUCUGGUGUUAUGGUGUUCUGAGAUUUUGCUAUGUAACAGAAGUAUUUGGGGAUAAAUAUUACAGUAGCUUAAUAAACCUGAAAUAUGAAGGUGAGUUUCUUGAUCUUUUUUCUACCAAUUUGAUUUCCCCUUUUUUCUUCGUGGGGGAGUGACCCUAUCCACAGAGUUUGACAUGCUUGGUAGUAGCUGCAAUUCUAACAUUUGUUUCGGUUGUAUUUGUAUUGUCCCAGUAAAAUGAACCUGUCAAUUUUUCUGCACAGAUUAAUCCAAGCCAGUGUAUCUAGUUUGGGACCUAUCUGAUAUGUUUUGUUAGUGCUCCGUGCAAUGCUCUUUUCUUUUUGGUGCUUUGGUUCCUUGGAAGUAAACAUUAUAUGAAGUCGUGUAAUCUUCAAUUGCAUUGUGUCAAACAUGAUGCAAUACUGCAAGUUGGCUUCAAUGACUAGUGGGUUUUCCAUGUUAUAAUCAGUGAUUCAAUUUCAAGGCCAGGCCCUGAGGAGUUAUUCCUCCUGAAUACCCAGCCACGGUCCAGUUCAGACCCAGAACUGAACCGGUCUAACCCAAAGCUGAACCGGUCCGGUCUAUUUGAAAUGGCAUUAUUCCUUUUUAUUUU
rnacentral:misc_RNA from 1 species